GGCCCCUUGGUCAAGCGGUUAAGACGUGGCCCUCUCAAGGCCAAAUCAUGGGUUCGAUUCCCGUAGGGGUCACCA
rnacentral:tRNA from 1 species